CCUGCCCAGUUUUAUGCUUGUAUAAUGUAUAAUUUAUGUUUGUCAACGAUUUAUACAAACGAGAGGCUAACAACAAUUUAUACAAAUGGCCUGCCAGCGAAAUUAUACAAUUCUGAAGAGGAGCCAACGAAUUAUACAAUUGCUUCUUUUUGUAUAUAUGUAUAGCGAAUUAUACAUAUAUAUGUUUGCUAUGGAGCGCAA
rnacentral:lncRNA from 1 species